UCUGUCACAAAAAAGCAGUGUCACCUAACUAAAAAGAUGUAAUAUUAUCAAUUAUGGCUGGAGCGAUAGCACAGUGGUAGGGCAUUUGCCUUGCACGCAGCCAACAUGGCCGACCCGAGUUCGAUUCCUCCGCCCCUCUCAGAGAGCCCGGCAAGCUACCGAGAGUAUCUCGCCUGCGCGGCAGAUCCUGGCAAGCUACCCGUGAUGUAUUCGAUAUGCCAAACACAGUAACAACAAAAUCUCCAAUGGAGACGUUACUGGGCCCACUCAAGCAAAUCGAUGAACAACGGGAGAGCCUUUACCUUUACCUUUUUAAUAUUAUCAAUAAAUGCUGUUACAUAGAAAGUAACAAGACUAGGAAAUAUUUUUGGAACUAAGUAAUAUUAAUGUAGGUAAAAAUAGAAUGGCAAUACCCAGUAUCAGUGAAAUAUGGGGGCCUAAAAUUAACAUAAAAUAACAUGAAUUUCUUAUAUAUAAACAAGUAUUUCCAUAAAAAUGAAAAAAGGUAUUUCAGAAAUGUGAAGGAAUUUCAACUUGAUACUUGUAUAUGCAGUAGAUCAAGUAUUUUUGUUGUUUGGGGACCACACUGUCAGUUGUUCAGAGAUUAAUCCUAUUUUGUUUAUUCUUGGUGAUGCUUAGGGGACCAUAUGCAGUGCUGGGAGGGUUGAACUAAGUCUUUUAUUUGAAUAUAGAGACCAGCCAAGGAAUUUGAAUGAGCGCUAAUAAAAACUAUGUAACAGGCCAGAGAGAUAGUACAGGAAGUACUUCAUUGCAAGUACCUUGCAAUACAGCCAAACUAGGUUUGAUCCCUGUAUAUUAUUCCUUUAGCGAAGCUGGAUGUGACCCCCUUGGAAAAAAUCAUAAAAUUUAAAAACAAACCCGAUGUAGAGCAUUAACAACUAACAACUUACUAAACUUAAGUAAGCAUUGAUCUUCUUUAAAACCUAGUAAUUAUUAGUAGAGCCAAGUAAGUUAUAUUGAAAACCGGAGUUAUUCUCACCUCAAAUCUAAAUGGUUUUCUUUAUUGUUGGCUUUCAUUGGGUGAGAAAGUCAUCUUCAAAACUGAACUAAGUUUCAGCUACAGAAUUCAAAAUAUUAAGCUUUUUUUGCAAUAAAGUUGAAUCUAAUAUGUUCUUUUCUUUUGGAUAUCAGUUGUGGGAAUAUAGAUUUAAUCUUGGAUGUUGGGGAAUUAGUUUAAAUUUUAGUCCUAAAUCAGUUAAUGAUACAGAGAAUUUAGCUAUGAGUUAUUUGUUUUUUUUUUUUACAUUUUGUGUUCAUUGUUGAAUAGUUGGCCAACCUUAUUCCUCUCUGCUGACAUUUGGGUAAUAUGGGCAUUUUGAGUGCUAGGUAAUUUUCAGAUACAUUUUUUUCUUUUUUAUUGAUUUAUCAUUGUUUUAUUAUGGAAAUUUGGAGAAGAUGCUUUUAAAGUGAAAAUACAAAGUAUAAACUGGUGAUUAUGAUAUGCUUACUUUGCUAAUAUUAUUAUGGUACAAAAGUGCUUUUGAUUUUUACCUACAUGUACUACCAUUUGCAAUUUUCUCAUUUUACUUCCUCUCCAUUUAAAAUCAUUCAAAGAGCAUCUUUCAGCUUCUCUUGGCUUAAAAGGCUUUUUCAUUAGCUUAAAACAAUGCAUUUCUCAGUGCUAGUUGAAUCCUAAGUGGGAAAAUAAUCUGAAAGUGCAUAGCAAUACCUGCUUAUAAAAGGGAUAAUUCACAUGAGCCACUCACAAAGAAAACCUUCUACCUUGGGCUGUGGCUGCUCCAUUAAUACUAACUACAUAAAGGACUUUCUUUUUAUGGUAAGUAGAAAGGAGUAAUACCCUUUUAUUGUGGGUUAUUUUUCCUAAACAACUUAUACUUUUUGUCUCCUAGAGAGCAUACCAUAUUCGUAUCAAAUGAGGAGAACAUUUAAAGUAUGAAUUACCUAUCUAAAAUUUAGGAAUGUUUGCUUGUUUUAAUGAUUUUUGUAUUAGAAUGGUGGAAAUUUUCUCCCUGAUAACCCAAAAAUUAUUUUUUAUUGAAUAACCAUGUGAAAAGAGUUUUUUUUGGACAUUGCUUAUUGAUGAACCUAUACGUUUGUUUUCUUGACCAGAACCUGCCAGUGCUCAGUGUUUACUUCUGACCCUAUGCUCAGGAAUCACUCUUGGCAAGCUGAGGGUAGGAUGGCGUGGGUACCUUAUAUGGUAUCUUGGAUUGAACCCUGAGUCAGCCAGUUGCAAGGCAAAUGCUUCACCCAUUGUAAUAUUGCUUCAACUCCUGGGCCAAUACUUUCUGAUACUGGAAAAAUAAUGGUUUCAGAGUUUUCAUUUCUGGCACAAGUAUUGUACAAAUUUCUUUCCUGUUGCUUGGCACUCCUUUUGAAAUGAGAUACUGGGGGUAUGCAACCCUUAAGUUAUGUGUGUCCCUUUGAUUGUUUUGUAAUUUCCUUUGUUAAUAAAACAAAACCUGG